rnacentral:snoRNA from 1 species
ACCUGCAUCGAAAGUGAUCGUGGCUCUACAAGUUGCCUGGUCAUUGAUACUGCAGGGAGAGAGACUGUGAUGGCUUUUCCCGUGUUUGGAUGCUUUUAUUAUACAUGCCAAACCCUGUAACCGUCAUACA